rnacentral:rRNA from 1 species
GACAGAGGGUGCAAACGUUGUUCGGAAUUACUGGGCGUAAAGCGUGUGUAGGCGGCUCUAUAAGUCGGAUGUGAAAGCCCCGGGCUCAACCUGGGAAGUGCACUCGAAACUGUAGAGCUUGAGUAUCGGAGAGGUUGGUAGAAUUCUCGGUGGAGAGGUGAAAUUCGUAGAUAUCGAGGGGAAUACCAGUGGCGAAGGCGGCCAACUGGACGAAUACUGACGCUGAGACACGAAAGCGUGGGGAGCAAACAGG